GUAAAAGUGAUGAAGAGGAGUAGUAAGCUUAAAUCCUGUUUGAGAGAGCUGGCGGUUGGUGCAAGUCAGUACAGGUAAAAGCUGAACUCGCCUUGGAACUGCAAUAGUGAACCUAAGUAGCUAUUGUCGUGAGCCUGCGUUAAGGGAUGUUAUUGAGGGCUCUAAUUGUUUGAUGGAGCUGAAACAGGGUGGUACCGCGGAGUAUUCAACAGGCCUUCGCCCCUGAU
rfam:Desulfuromonadales bacterium C00003068 5datasets_contig_515001, whole genome shotgun sequence.